UACGGAGGGGGCAAGCGUUGUCCGGAAUUACUGGGCGUAAAGGGCGCGUAGGCGGUCAUCUAAGUCAGACGUGAAAUCCCUCGGCUCAACCGAGGAACUGCGUCUGAUACUGGAAGGCUUGAAUCCGGGAGAGGGAUGUGGAAUUCCAGGUGUAGCGGUGAAAUGCGUAGAUAUCUGGAGGAACACCGGUGGCGAAGGCGGCAUCCUGGACCGGUAUUGACGCUGAGGCGCGAAAGCUAGGGGAGCAAACGGG
rnacentral:rRNA from 1 species